CAAUCGAACCCGGAGAUAGCUGGUUCUCCUCGAAAUAGCUUUAGGGCUAGCCUCGCAUUAGUUUACCGGAGGUAGAGCACUGAAUGGUCUAGGGGGCCUCACCGCCUACCGAAACCUAUCAAACUGCGAAUGCCGGAUAAAUGAUGUGCGGGAGUCAGGCCGCGAGAGAUAAGUUCCGCGGUCAAAAGGGGAACACCCCAGAUCGUCUGCUAAGGUCCCCAAGUACGCGUUAAGUGGGAAAGGAUGUUGGAUUGCACAGACAACCAGGAUGUUGGCUUAGAAGCAGCCACACAUUCAAAGAGUGCGUAAUAGCUCACUGGUCGAGUGAUCCAGCGCCGAAAAUGUAACGGGGCUAAAACGCGACACCGAAGCAGCGGGAUGCGUAAGCAUCGGUAGAGGAGCAUUGUGUGAGGGUUGAAGCCAGAGCGGGAGCACUGGUGGACUUCACAGAAGAGAGAAUGCCGGUAUGAGUAGCGAGACCCAUGCGAGAAACAUGGGCGUCGAAGGCCCAAGGUUUCCUGGGGAAGGUUCAUCCACCCAGGGUAAGUCGGGACCUAAGCCGAGGACUGAGGUCGUAGGCGAUGGACAGCAGGUAGAGAUUCCUGCACCACUUACACUUGUUUGACGAAGCAGUGACACAGAAGGAUAGGACGAGCGCGGUGAUGGUCAACCGCGUAGGCGGCACGAGGCCGGGAAGCAGUGAAGUACACUUCCCGCGAAGGCUGAGUGUUGACAGGACCGAAAAGAAGUAGGGAAGCGUCCGAGUUCACGCUGGCGAGAAAAGCUGCUAAGGAGAGUGUGAGUGCCCGUACCGGAAACCGACGCAGGUGGGCGAGGAGAGAAUCCUGAGACGGACGGGAGAACUCUUGUUAAGGAACUCGGCAAAAUGACCCCGUAACUUCGGGAGAAGGGGUGCCUCGAAAGAGGCCGCAGAGAAUAGUCACAAGCGACUGUUUAGCAAAAACACAGGUAUCUGCGAAAGCGAGAGCUGACGUAUAGGUGCUGACGCCUGCCCGGUGCUGGAAGGUUAAGGGGAAGUGUUAGGGGAAACCCGAAGCAGAGAACCGAAGCCCCAGUAAACGGCGGCCGUAACUAUAACGGUCCUAAGGUAGCGAAAUUCCUUGUCGGGUAAGUUCCGACCCGCACGAAUGGCGUAACGACUUGUGAGCUGUCUCAACAGGAGGCCCGGUGAAAUUGAAGUAUGUGUGAAGAUGCACAUUACCCGCGACUGGACGGAAAGACCCCGUAGAGCUUUACUGUAACCUGACAUUGGAUCUUGAUAACGGAUGCACAGGAUAGGUGGGACGCUGGGAGACGAGGACUUUGGUUUUCGUGGAGCGGCCGUUGGGAUACCACUCUUCUGUUAUUGAGAUUCUAACCUCAAGCCGUAAGCCGGAUGAGAGACAGUGUCAGGCGGACAGUUUGACUGGGGCGGUCGCCUCCGAAAGAGUAACGGAGGCGCCCAAAGGUACCCUCAGAAUGGAUGGAAACCAUUCGAAGAGAGCAAAGUCAGAAGGGUGCUUGACUGCGAGACCAACAAGUCGAGCAGGUACGAAAGUAGGGCUUAGUGAUCCGGCGGUAAGAGAGUGGAAUUGCCGUCGCUCAACGGAUAAAAGCUACCUCGGGGAUAACAGGCUGAUCUCCCCCAAGAGUCCACAUCGACGGGGAGGUUUGGCAC
rnacentral:rRNA from 1 species